rnacentral:rRNA from 1 species
UAUGUAAUUGCAGAACACAUUGAACAUCGACACCUUGAACGCACAUGGCGGCCUCGGGUCCAUCCCGGGGCCACGCCCGUCUGAGGGUCG